AAAUACCAAAAAUACCUGAGAAUAACAAAAAAACCCCAAAAAUCAUGUCCCGCAGACGGCCGGGAGGGAAGCCCCAAACUCAGCGGCUUUUCCUCCCCGGGAUGCGCAGGAGGCAGCGCGGAGGUCUGGGGACCCUGAGGCUGUCGUUGUGACUGUCGUUGUGAUUGUCGCUGUGAUUGUGGAUGUGACUGUCGCUGUGACUGUCGCUGUGAUUGUUGUUGUGAUUGUCGCUGUGGCUGUCGCUGUAGUUGUCGCUGUGGCUGUCGCUGUGAUUGUCGCUGUGAUUGUCGCUGUGACUGUUGCUGUGAUUGUCGUUGUCGCUGUGGCUGUCGCUGUGGCUGUCCCUGUGGCUGUCGCUGUGAGUGUCGCUGUGGCUGUCGCUGUGAUUGUCGCUGUGAUUGUCGCUGUGAUUGUCGCUGUGGCUGUGAUUGUCGCUGUUAUUGUCGUUGUUGCUGUGGCUGUCGCUGUGAUUGUCGCUGUGACUGUCGCUGUGGCUGUCGCUGUGACUGUCGCUGUUAUUGUCGCUGUGAUUGUCGCUGUGGCUGUCGCUGUGAUUGUUGCUGUGAUUGUCGCUGUUAUUGUCGUUGUCGCUGUGAUUGUCGCUGUGAUUGUCGCUGUGGCUGUUGCUGUGAUUGUCGCUGUGACUGUCGCUGUGAUUGUCGCUGUGACUGUCGCUGUGAUUGUCGCUGUGACUGUCGCUGUGAUUGUCGCUGUUAUUGUCGUUGUCGCUGUGAUUGUCGCUGUGACUGUUGCUGUGAUUGUCGUUGUCGCUGUGAUUGUCGCUGUGGCUGUCGAUGUGAUUGUCGUUGUCGCUGUGGCUGUGGCUGUGGCUGUCGCUGUGGCUGUCGUUGUGAUUGUCGCUGUGAUUGUCGCUGUGAUUGUCGCUGUGAUUGUCGUUGUCGCUGUGUCUGUCGCUGUGGCUGUCGCUGUGGCUGUCGCUGUGGCUGUCUCUGUGAUUGUCGCUGUCGCUGUUAUUGUCACUGUCGCUGUCGCUGCCGCUGUCGCUGUCGCUGUGUCUGUCGCUGUGACUGUCGCUGUGACUGUCGCUGUGGCUGUCGCUGUGAUUGUCGCUGUCGCUGUGUCUGUCGCUGUGACUGUCGCUGUGACUGUCGCUGUGGCUGUCUCUGUGAUUGUCGCUGUCGCUGUGGCUGUCUCUGUGGCUGUCGCUGUGAUUGUCGCUGUCGCUGUGAUUGUCGUUGUCGCUGUGGCUGUCGCUGUGGCUGUCUCUGUGGCUGUCGCUGUGGCUGUCGCUGUGGCUGUCGCUGUGAUUGUCGCUGUGGCUGUCGCUGUGGCUGUCGCUGUGAUUGUCGCUGUGAUUGUCGCUGUGAUUGUCGUUGUCGCUGUGGCUGUCGCUGUGACUGUCGCUGUCGCUGUGACUGUCGCUGUCGCUGUGACUGUCGCUGUCGCUGCCGCUGCCGCGCGGGGCUCCGCUGUCCCCGCCGCGCCCCGGCC
rnacentral:lncRNA from 1 species